rnacentral:rRNA from 1 species
CAGUCGCCGCGGGAACACGAAGGGUGCAAGCGUUACUCGGAAUUACUGGGCGUAAAGCGUGCGUAGGUGGUGGUUUAAGUCCGUUGUGAAAGCCCUGGGCUCAACCUGGGAAUUGCAGUGGAUACUGGGUCACUAGAGUGUGGUAGAGGAUAGUGGAAUUUCCGGUGUAGCAGUGAAAUGCGUAGAGAUCGGAAGGAACAUCUGUGACGAAGGCGACUAUCUGGGCCAACACUGACACUGAGGCACGAAAGCGUGGGGAGCAAACAGGAUUAGAUACCCGCGUAGUCCCUGUCUCUUAUAC